AGUCGCGUGCGCAGUUCCUGUAGCAAUACGGGGAUGGGCGCACGGCGCACGGGUGCGUAACACGUGGGCAAUCUGCCCUCCGAUGGGGAAUAACCCCGCGAAAGCGGGGCUAAUUCCGCAUAACAUUCCUUGGACCAACGUUCGAGGAUUCAAAGCAGUAAUGCGUCGGAGGAGGAGCCCGCGCCCGAUUAGCUAGUUGGUGAGGUAACGGCUCACCAAGGCAAUGAUCGGUAGCUGGUCUGAGAGGAUGGCCAGCCACACUGGAACUGAGACACGGUCCAGACUCCUACGGGAGGCAGCAGUGGGGAAUCUUGCACAAUGGGCGAAAGCCUGAUGCAGCGACGCCGCGUGGGGGAUGAAGCUUCUCGGAGUGUAAACCCCUUUCGACUGGGACGAAUGCCUCGCAAGAGGAGUGACGGUACCAGUAUAAGAAGCCCCGGCUAACUACGUGCCAGCAGCCGCGGUAAGACGUAGGGGGCCAGCGUUGUUCGGAAUUACUGGGUGUAAAGGGUUCGUAGGCGGUGUGGCAAGUUGGGAGUGAAAUCUCUGGGCUUAACCCAGAGGCUGCUUCCAAAACUGCUGUGCUUGAGUGUGAGAGAGGCGCGUGGAAUUGCAGGUGUAGCGGUGAAAUGCGUAGAUAUCUGCAGGAACACCCGUGGCGAAAGCGGCGCGCUGGAUCACUACUGACGCUGAGGA
rnacentral:rRNA from 1 species